GUUUAAAAAUUUUAUCUAUUUGUACUGUUAAAAACUAGCGUGGUUGACGAAAUAAACAAUGACACAUGACAUGCUACUUAUAUCUCAUGUCGAUGCGUAGAGAUUAGUUUUUAAUAAUAGAAAUAAAUGAAAAUUUUAACA
rfam:Gossypium raimondii Chr09_contig_597, whole genome shotgun sequence.